rnacentral:pre_miRNA from 1 species
UAGUACUGGCAUAUGGACAUUGGUGAUUUAACUCAAUGUUCAUAUUUCAGUAUUUCC